UGGGAUUCGGAGCCGUACACCCCAGGUGAGGU
rnacentral:piRNA from 1 species